UACUAAAAUUGGAACGAUACAGAGAAGAUUAGCAUGGCCCCUGCGCAAGGAUGACACGCAAAUUCGUGAAGCGUUCCUCAUUUUGACUUUUAACUGAAAGAAGUGAUACAGGGUUCAUGUGGUGUAAAUCCUCCCACUCUCACACUGUGUGACUUCAGUUACACGUAUACUAAAAUUGGAACGGUAAUUCAUGGCCCUGCCAGCAGAGGGCGCUGCUGCAGCGCUUAAGAUGCUGUUCAUCCACUUUCAACAUCUAUAAAUUUUCAUAAACUACACCACAUGAGCCCUGUAUCACUUCUUUACGUUAAAAGUCAAAAUGAGGAACGCUUCACGAAUUUGCGUGUCAUCCUUGCGCAGGGGCCAUGCUAAUCUUCUCUGUAUCGUUCCAAUUUUAGUAUACGUGUAACCGAAGUUACACAGUUUAAGAGUGGGAGGUGUCUGGUUUAUAUACGGGUCUGGACCUGGACCCCUGGGAGUCAUGGUGCGACCCUCAGACAGGCCUGUAUGAGAGCAAACUGCCUCUGAGUGGCUUCAUAUAGGCAGAGAGCAGAACAGCCUUCAGAGCUCAGGGAGGCUGUACUGGGGCUGCUGCAGCUUCAACAACUCAUAAGGACCCAAUCUGACCCAGUUCUGUCUCAGUUCUGAACAAUUAUGAGUUUUCUCUGAAUGCUGAUGGCUUGCAAGGCAUGCUGGGAUUUUUUUUAAUCUCCUCCCCACUCUGUCAGUUGGCUCCUCCCCUCUGGCUGUUAGGCUGAGAAGUAACCAGUGUUUGAACUACGACUGCAAAAGCUGGGCCUCCUGCUGUAUUCCACUGUUCACAGAUCAGCUGUUGCCCAGUUCGCUGAUGCGUAGAGAUACAGAGGUUCUACGGUGGAUUUGAGACCGGUUAGCUACUGUUGACUCUGUUUUGAUCCGUUAAUUCUCUGACUUCUUAGUCUUCGCGGUUCCACUGGUACUUUACUGGUGUGUGUGUGUGUGUGUGUGUGUGUGUGUGUGUGUGAGAGAGCGCAGGUGGGUAUGUGCUUCUUUUUCUUGCAUUUGUAAGUUGAAAGUAAAUAUAUUUUAUUUGAAGGCAAGUUUGUUUUACCCGGUUCAUCUGUUAAUGAUGGAACUCAUUGUAAUGAAAUGAUUUUUUCAGAAUUUAUUUUAUUUUGAAUUUUUUUUUGGUAAUGCGUUGUGAAGGUCUUAAAUUUGUAAUUUUUAUGGUCUUAAAAUGUCUUAGAAAUGUCUAAAAUUUGACUUAUUGAAACCUGCAAGAACGCAAGAAUAUUCCACAAGGACUUUAUUAUUAAAGUGCAUUUUACAAAACCGCAGCAAUAAACACAAUAAAAAGCACACAGUGACCACAUGUACGGGUAAAGAUGCGCUCUACGUACGCGUGCUCUGCAGUGUCUCCCCCUCUCUGCACACCUGAAGGUAACUGGUGCUCUGGUGGAGUCGGGGGAGGUGAUAAAAUGGCAGAGAUAGCAGGAGGAGAACGAUCACACACCUCUGAGGAGGGUUCUCUCCUCACCUUUUAGGCUUUCCUUCAGGUAGUUUCGGGGCUCACUGCUCGGCUGGUCCAACAUCUUCCAUGGAUCUCCAGCCCUGUUCUGUUUGUUCUUGUGGUUUUCAUUUGACAAUCAUAGAAUAAAGCUUGCUUAUUUCUUGACACUGUGUAGCUUCUUUACUGCUGGCUUGGACUCAUUGGGCCACAUGACAUGGAAGCUAUUGACAAAAAAAAUCAUAAUUUCUGCAUGUUAAUAUUCAUAUAAAACAGAGAGCCCUAAAAUACAAUAUAAAGAGCUGUGUCUUAUUCAUCCAGUUUACUAAUACCAUCUGCUGCUGGUUGGGAGACGGACACACAUUGCUUUACAUGGCACAUGAAUACUUGUUCCUCUCUGGAAAUCCCUCCUUAAACACAUCAGAGACUCUACACACCUCACAACCUUCCCAACACUCACCAAACUCAGUUUAAAACUGCUUUCAUAAUUUAUGACUCCUCUUUGUGUUUUUAGUUUGUUUUUAUUAUUCAAUAUUCAAGACAUGAUGAUGAUGUGCACAGUAAAAAAUAAUAAUAAUAAUCAUGUACACAUGCGAGCUGCAGGAAUAAAUGCAGCACAAUUGUUUUGAGUAAGUUUUUUUUAGGGUUUUUUUCAGUUUAUAGGUACUUUACAUACAGAAUCAUAAAAAGUCCUGAGUUCAACAUAAAACAAAGUUUCAUUUGGAAUAAAUUGAAGAAACCUGGCUUUAUGAAUUGUUAGGCCCCUGGUCUAGUGGAAUCACAGACAUUACAUGAUGUGCUUCUCCUCUUUCUUCCCACUCCCCAGAAGGCCAGUGUCACAGGAAGUUAGCGGUAGCAUUCGUUCAGAGGGAGAGAAGGUCAGAACAACAAACAAACAACAAGCAAAAGCAUCUCCCUUCCUUCCCUGUACAAAUCAAAAUUAUU